rnacentral:rRNA from 1 species
UACAGAGGUCUCAAGCGUUGUUCGGAUUCAUUGGGCGUAAAGGGUGCGUAGGUGGCGCCGUAAGUCGGGUGUGAAAUUUCGGAGCUUAACUCCGAAACUGCAUUCGAUACUGCGGUGCUUGAGGACUGGAGAGGAGACUGGAAUUUAUGGUGUAGCAGUGAAAUGCGUAGAGAUCAUAAGGAAGACCAGUGGCGAAGGCGGGUCUCUGGACGACUCCUGACACUGAGGCACGAAAGCUGGGGGAGCAAACAGG